rnacentral:lncRNA from 13 species
GACCUCAGGUGAUUCACCCGCCUCUGCCUCCCAAAGCGCUGCGAUUACAGGCGAGAGCCACCUUGUCUGGCCUCCAGAAUGUUGUCAUCUUCCCGAACGGAAACUCUAUCCCCAUGAAACACUUCCUACCCCAGUCCCCAGCCCCUGGCACCCCCCAUCCUGCUUUCCUUCUCUGUGAAUCUGACUGUGCCGUGGUCCUCCUAUGAAGCCCCUGUCUCUCCUUUUGUAUCUGGCUUAUUUCACUGAGCAUGAUGAUCUCAGGGUUCACCCACGUAUCAGGUGUCAUAAUUUCCUUCCUUUUUGUGGCUGGAUAAUAUUCCAUUGUGCGGGUCGGCCAUAUUGUAUUGAUUUAUUCAUCUGUGGAUGGACUUCGGGUUGCUCCCGCCUUCUGGCUACUGUGAAUCUUACCGCCAUCAACAUCGUUAUACAAAUAUCUCUGUGUGCGUCCCUGCUUUCAAUUCUUCUGAAUAUCCACCCGGAAGUGGAAUUGCUGGGUCCCGUGGUGAUGCUAUUUCAUUUCUGGAGGAACUGUCAAGUUGUUAUCUGCAGCAGCCAUACCAUUUUAUAUUCUUACCACAAUUUUUUUUUUAAAUGCUGGAAACCAUUUCCAGCUCUGCCUGGUACCUCCAGGGUUUCAGGGGACUUCUCGGAUCUGAGGUGGGAUUCCCUCGGAUUCCCUCCCCGCCCCCCAUCACGCAGCCCAGCUGGUGGGAGCGACCAGCAGGUGGCCACUUUAAUUAGCUCCUGCCUGGAGCAGAAGUGGGCACCACGGAGCCCGGCACAGAGUGUCCCCGGGAGGGGAGCAAGCAGAGAAACCAGGGACCAUAGGGGGCAGGGUUUGAGGGUGAACAUAGGGUUUGAUAACAUCGGAGCAGCCAGCGAUGGUCUCAUUUCACAGGUCCCCAAACAGGUCCACUCAGCCCCCUGGGUCCAUCCCAGGACCCCUGACCUGUGUGCAAUCCCGAUCCCACCUCAGGCAAACAUCUUUCAAAAUGCUUUUGAUCUAAUUAGGCUUUCAGGGAGAGGGCGGGUUCUCCAGAGUUGCUCGUGUCUUGUCUCUGUCUCUGGUAUUGUCAAUGUCUCUGGUCUCUCAUACCUAAUGUCGCCCAAUCACAGCCACUCCAGGGCUGGCCCCGCCCCUCACUCCCACCCCUAAUGUCGCCCAAUCACACUCUCACUCUGGGCCACUCCAGGGCUGGCCCCGCCCCUCACCUCCCACCCCUAAUGUCGCCCAAUCACACUCUCACUCUGGGCCACUCCAGGGCUGGCCCCGCCCCUCACCUCCCACCCCUAAUGUCGCCCAAUCACACUCU